GACGACCGCUGGGUGACGGCGGUUCCGGGGCUGCCGACCCCGGUGACGUUCUGCGAGAUCUUCCCGCCGGACGACU
rnacentral:tRNA from 1 species